rnacentral:rRNA from 1 species
AUUUGUCUGGUUAAUUCCGAUAACGAACGAGACCUUAACCUGCUAACUAGAUCUUAUUAUCUUAUAAUUUGCAUCUUCUUAGAGGGACUAUGUAAUCUAAAUACAUGGAAGUUUGAGGCAAUAACAGGUCAGUGAUGCCCUUAUAUGUCCUGGGCUGCACGCGUGCUACACUGAUGCAUACAACAAGUGCCUAACCAGACAUGGUAUGGCAAUCUCGAAUAUGCAUCGUGAUGGGGAUAGAUCUUUGCAAUUAUAGAUCUUGAACGAGGAAUUCCUAGUAAGUGCAAGUCAUCAUCUUGCAUUGAUUAUGUCCCUGCCCUUUGUACACACCGCCCGUCGCUCCUACCGAUACCGGGUGAUCCGGUGAGCCUUUUGGACUCUUUAUGGGAAAGAUAAGUAAACCAUAUCACCUAGAGGAAGGAGAAGUCGUAACAAGGUUUCCGUAGGUGAACCUGCRGAAGGAUCA